CAAAGGCAUGGUCCCGACCUUACUAUUAGCUUUAGCCCAACUUACACAUGCAAGUCUCCGCAACCCCGUGAGUAUGCCCCCAGUCCCCCAACCGGGGAAGGGGAGCGGGCAUCAGGCACAAAUCUUUAGCCCAAGACGCCCAGCCAAGCCACACCCCCAAGGGAAUUCAGCAGUGAUAAACAUUAAGCCAUAAGUGAAAACUUGACUCAGUUAAGGCAAAGAGGGCCGGUAAAACUCGUGCCAGCCACCGCGGUUAAACGAGAGGCCCCAGUUAAUAGUACUACGGCGUAAAGGGUGGUUAAAGAGAAUAAAACAAUAAAGCCAAAUGGCCCCUUGGCUGUCAUACGCUUCUAGGUGCCCGAAGCCCAAACACACGAAAGUAGCUUUAGUAAAACCUACCUGACCCCACGAAAGCUGAGAAACAAACUGGGAUUAGAUACCCCACUAUGCUCAGCCAUAAACCCAGACCCCCCCCCACAUUUAGGCGUCCGCCCGGGUACUACGAGCAUCAGCUUGAAACCCAAAGGACCUGACGGUGCCUUAGACCCCCCUAGAGGAGCCUGUUCUAAAACCCGAUAACCCCCGUUAAACCUCACCACUUCUAGCCUCCACAGCCUAUAUACCGCCGUCGCCAGCUUACCCUGUGAAGGUAAUAAAAGUAAGCAAAAUGGGCAAAACCCAGAACGUCAGGUCGAGGUGUAGCGCACGAAGCGGGAAGAAAUGGGCUACAUUUUCUAUCACAGAACACUACGAAUAUGCAACAUGAAAUAGUGCUUGAAGGAGGAUUUAGUAGUAAAAAGGAAGCAGAGUGUCCUUUUGAACCCGGCUCUAAGGCGCGUACACACCGCCCGUCACUCUCCCCUGUCUAAAAGCAUAAACAUAAUUAAUACUAAAGCACUGACAAGGGGAGGCAAGUCGUAACAUGGUAAGUGUACCGGAAGGUGCACUUGGAUUAAACU
rnacentral:ncRNA from 1 species